AUUGCUUCUCCGAUUCGCCUUGGAGUGCGUCCUGGCUCUGAACGAAAGCUGGCGGCGUGCUUUCAAUGCAAGUCGAGUGCGCGCCUGUAGCAGUUCGCGCUUCUCACGGCGCACGGGUGCGUGAUGUGAGGGGAACCUGCCCUUUGACGGGGAAACGUUUUCCCCAAGCCAAGCUGAUUUGCGAUUACUAGCGAAGGAUGAAAGCCGAGUCCACUUAUGGAGGGGCCCCGAACUGUUACGAGCUUUUUGGGAUUGUGUCCCCCUUAGGGGUUGGUCGUUAUUUGGUCUGAGAGGAUGGCCAGCUGUGUUGCCCUUGACAUACAGGCCAUACUCACUUGGCAGGCUCCCCUGCGGAAUCUUGCAUAUAGGGAGCAAUCCUGAUGGAGUUCCCUCCUUGGGGGGAUGAAGCUGUGUGGAGUGGUUACCCCCUUUGAUCCACACAACUGCCCACCACAGAGUGACAGCUCAGAUAUAAGAUGCCCCGGCUAAAAACGUGUCACCAGCCGGAAGGACACGUUUGUGGCCCGCGUCGUUAGCAUUUACUGCCCGUGAAGGGCUCCUAGGGGGGGCGCCAAGUUGGGAGUGUAAUCUCUCGGGUGUGCCCGCACGCUGCUACUCAUACUGCUGUGCUUCAUUGUACGAGACUCUCCUGGAGUAGGACGUGUAACGGUGAAUUGGGGAGAACUCUGGAAGAAGACGCCUCGCGAAAGCGGCUAGCUUGGGGACUACUCUCCCUGAGUAUCUAAGCUUUUGAUCCACAGGAUAGAUACCCAGGUGGAGCUAGUGCUCAACGUGCGCUUCGGGUGGGAGCUCUGCGGAUUCUACCGAUUACCGUCACUUCAGUCCCAGGACUUCGUCGCUGAUGAACUAAUUGAUAGAGGGUCGUCAGCAGGACUACUGCUCAAUUGCGUCCCUGAACUUACACGCCUGAAUCGAAUGACAGGGCCGAUAGC
rnacentral:rRNA from 1 species